UACGAAGGGGGCUAGCGUUGUUCGGAAUUACUGGGCGUAAAGGGCGCGUAGGCGGCUCUGAUCGUCGGAUGUGAAAGGCCUGGGCUCAACCUGGGAACGGCAUCCGAUACGGCGGGGCUUGAGUGUGGGAGAGGUUGGUGGAAUUCCCAGUGUAGAGGUGAAAUGCGUAGAUAUCUGGAGGAACACCGGUGGCGAAGGCGGCAUUCUGGACCGACAUUGACGCUGAGGAGCGAAAGCCAGGGGAGCAAACGGG
rnacentral:rRNA from 1 species